rnacentral:rRNA from 1 species
UGGAUAAGCGCCAAUGAUGUUAUGCUUCCAAGAAAAGCUCGUACACCUCUAAAAGCAAUUUUAGAAAAACACAAAAAUGACCUGUACCUGAAACCGACACAGGUAGGUUGGUAGAGAAUACUAAGGGGCGCGAGAGAACUCUCUCUAAGGAACUCGGCAAACUAGCCCCGUAACUUCGGGAGAAGGGGCGCCCUUUUCAAAGAGGGUCGCAGUGAACCGGUUCUGGCAACUGUUUAUCAAAAACACAGGUCUCCGCAAAGUCGUAAGACAAUAUAUGGGGGCUGACGCCUGCCCAGUGCCGGAAGGUCAAGGAAGUUGGUUAUAGACCUUCGGGUUUAGAAGCUGACGACCGAAGCCCCGGUGAACGGCGGCUGUAACAAUGACAGUCCUAAGGUAGCGAAAUUCAUUGUCGAGUAAGUUUCGACCUGCACGAAAGGCGUAAUGAGCAGAACGCUGUCUCGGAGAGAGACUCGGUGAAAUAGACUUGUCCGUGAAGAUGCGGACUACUAAUACUUGGACAGAAAGACCCUAUGAAGCUUGACUGUAUCCUGGAAUUGGGUUCGGGCUUUUCUUGCGCAGUCUAGGUGGGAGGCUAUGAAGAUUUCCUUCCGGGGAAGUUGGAGCCAACAGUGAGAGACCACUCUGGAGAGGCUAGAAUCCUAAUGGUGAUCCUUGAAUCAGGACACUUGACAGUUUCGGGUGGGCAGUUUUUCUGGGGCGGAAGCCUCAUAAAAGGUAACUGAGGCGCGCAAAGGUCCCCUCAGUCUGGACGGAAAUCAGACAACGAGUGUAAAGGCAGAAGGGGGCUUGACUGCAAGACCAACAAGUCGAGCAGGAGCGAAAGCUGGCCUUAGUGAUCCGACGGUACCGCGUGGAAGGGCCGUCGCUCAACGAAUAAAAGUUACUCUAGGGAUAACAGGCUGAUCUUCUCCAAGAGUUCACAUCGACGAGAAGGUUUGGCACCUCGAUGUCGGCUCAUCACAUCCUGGGGCUGUAGUAGGCCCCAAGGGUUGGGCUGUUCGCCCAUUAAAGUGGUACGUGAGCUGGGUUCAGAACGUCGUAAGACAGUUCGGUCCAUAUCCGGUAUUAGCGUUAGAAUAUUGAGGUCAGUCACUCAUAGUACGAGAGGACCUGCAGUGAACAUGCCAAUGGUGUACCUGUUAUUUUUCCAAAAGUAAACGCAGGGUAGCCACGCAUGGAGUGAAUUAGUACUGAAUGCAUCUAAGUACGAAGUCCAGACCAAGAUGAGUAUUCUCCAUUAGGCCGCAGCAAGACAAGCUGUUGUAUAGGUAUCAAGUGUAAGGCCAGUAAUGGUUUCAGCUGAGAUAUACUAAAGGCUAAUUGAUUUU